AUUUCUUUCUGUAUUUCUCUAGCUUUGCAUAUGCUAGCUCAAUAGUCAAGGCUGCCAUGUUACAAGAAUUAACCGUGGCCUAAUUCACAAUCUUAGAUUAAACUUCUUCUAGUGCUUGUAGUUUGAAUCAAUCCACGUAACCGUCUCUGAUCAUUGCCGGUCCUUGAGCUUUUACGGGUGAUGGUAAGUAGAAAUCAAGAAACAUGUAGCAAGAGAACACAUUUACUCAAAAAAAGUUUUCAAAACUAUAUUGCACAAAUUUAAGAACGCAAACAAGCUAAAUGGAUUCCAUUACCAGAAACGCAAAUGACGGAGUCAGUUGAAUUCAUUUUGCCAACUUUUUUUCCCGGCAAAGUGAUAUUUUAUGGCAUCUCAUGAUUUGGUUUUUCCUCAAAAAGCUUAUAUAUUUCAUACUCACAAGGAGGUUUUGUGUAUUCAGUUCAGUUUGCAGCUUCAAAACAUGAAGCUGUUGCUGGAAAAAAGAAGCAGCUUUCAUUCGAGUUUUAACUCUUUCAAGUUCAGAAAUUUAAUGAUCUAUUACAUAAGUAGCAAGUCCUAUGUCUUUAACCAAAAGGAAUCUAAUUUUCCCUCAAAUGUAUUUGACAUAAGGGCUAGCUGCAGAUAAGUUUUUAGGGUUCUUCUUUCUUGGCGUCAUAAGUUCUACCUACAUCAAUCGAUCUUUCCUUCCUACCUUUCAACAGUAUGCCAACUUCAUGUCUUUGCCUGUGUAUUAAAUUUGAUGCCACUGUUACCUUGCCAUCGAUCAUUUAGUUCUCCAAUUUAUUACUCACCUUGUCUUCUAAGCAUUUUCAUGUUCAUACUUCUGCAGUCACCACUCAUUGAUAAUUGUACUAGAUCACUAAUUUCUGGAUUUCUUUCUUAUUUUUUUAAAAAAAGCCAAGAAACAAGGAUGAUUUUCAGAUAAACAAAGAAAUAAUGGUAUCUUACCUUCUUCACUUCCUAUGUGAGUGUUGUUUUCUUUGAGGUGGUGGGGGAGAUGGAUGGAUGGCUUCUUCUGUGCCCACUGAAGCAUAAAUGAUCAUUUGUUGCAGAUCAUUACCUAGUUGUGGGCUAUUUUCUUUACUGUGGAAGAUCUUCAUUACUGUUGGCUAGCUUUCUUUAGCCAAGAAUAUGAGAAGAGAGCUGCCAAAAGAAAAUCAUGGCUGCAAUUUACAACUGCUUUUUUUCCUUCCUUUUUGAACUGCCAUUUCAUCAUAAGAUAUCUCUUUUGUUGA
rnacentral:lncRNA from 1 species